GUCACUGACAUCUCAGAAUUUGAGAUUUUGCAGCAGUGCCUCCAGGCAAAAUUUCUGUAUAUGGUUUUCACACAGAGCAUUGACCAUCUCUUUCCCUACAUGAGCUGUGAACACAAGAACCACCAGAGCACUUAAGAUGUCACCAGCGCCCAUUUGAAGAAGAGUAACGAUGUUUAAGAUCCUUGUUAUGGAAAGCAGUUUUUUUUUUGGGGGGGGGGUGAACUAGGCCUGGCAGCAGACAGAACUCUGUCACUGUGUGUAGAGGCAAUCCACCAUCAGUGUCACUUCAUGCUCUUCUUGGGUGCGCCAAGAAUGCAAGACUGAUCACUUUCUUUGGACCCCCUUUCGGAGUUGUGUUUGCAAGGAGCAAUUUUGAGAGGCUGCAGUGUAGACCAUGGACUGAAGCUAUUGAAGACCCAAAAGAAAGAAAAUGUUGAGAGGUGGAAUGAGCUUGGUGGUUGAAGAGAUGGCUGAAGAUUCACACUUGAGCUGUUUCCCAAAACUAAGUGCUGCAGGAGAGCAGAAGCAGCUACCUAGCCUGCCAGAGACAUGCUGUUUCUAGGCUAGGGUGACUGCUGACACAAGGAAGCAAAAAAAUUAAAAAUACUGGAGCGUGUGAUAAUGAUGAGUUCAGAUAACGCAUGGGUUGAGUUUUCGGUCCCUGGGACAUGCUGGAGAUGUACUGUUGGUACGUAGACAUGACAGAACAUGAUGAAUGUUCUCAGAAUGGAAGAACAUGACAAAGAAAAGUUGGAGGUGUGAAAAGAAGGAAAGACUUAACUCUAAGGAGAGACUCAGGCUUUGGACUACUGCUCUUUUGGAAGAUUUAAAAUAAACUUUGAAUGUUAAUAGGUGACUAAGUUAUUUUUAGGUGAUUUCAUUUACUUUAUGGAAUUAUUUUGUUCAACAUUCCCUACUUUGCUACAACUUAAAUGGAACAUAACCCUGUUAUUAAACUUAAGGGAGGAAAGGUUUAUUUUGGCUUUGUUCCAUAGGUUGUCAUAUGUGGUCACAUGGCAAGAAUUCCACACCAGGAAAGAAAUGUGCAGAACCAAAGAUAGCCACCUCUUGGCUGCAAAGAAGAAAAGGUAAAGAGGCCAGGGACUUAAUUCCCUCUUGCAAGGACUUGUCCCCAAAGACUCGAUUUACUAGGGCCCAGCUCCUAAUGGUCUUAUCACUUCACAUUAGGCCUUUGAGGUAGUUAAGACAAACUAUAAGUUGCUAAUAAAAAAAGUUUUCAAAAGGUCAAAUAAGUCAACGGAGACAAAGUAUUAAUGGAAAUGUAACGAGUCAAUACUCAAAAAUGUUAUUGCUUUGAAGCAGAGUUAUUCGGCCCUCUAGCAUUCACAGGACAGAAAAAUCAUAGAGCAAGUUUGCCCCUUGAAUCUUAGUCAAGGAAUGUUUACCAAGAGUAUACUGCUAAGUGUGUAAAGAAACUUUUCCCCCUCUCCUCCCGCCUGCCAUUAUCACAGAGGCAACGCGUAUUACUCAAAUACUUCUGUUUUAAUAAAGGAAGCAUAGAUGCUAGGUUGCUUAUGACUCUAAACAGUGAAAGUAAAAUGUUGACUUAAUAGUUACUGAAAUAUAAAUAACACAAAAGAGCUACAGCCAAGAAGCACCAAUAGGUCUCGACAGCACUCCUUGGGUACCAAAAAGCAGGUCAGGUCCAGGGCCUACCUAAGCCCUGGUAAACUGAGUCAUUUGACCUACUAGCCAGUGAAAAUCCUGUUUAAUCCUGUUUUGUUUAGAACAAAAUUAAUCAUUCAUCCCAUUCCAGUUGCUAAGAAAAACUCUCCUCUCGCAUCUUUACCCGGUUUUCCUAGGAGGCCUCAGUUGCUUCAGGCUUGUUUGAUGUUCACAUAGUUCUUUGUUUCUGCUUCAGGAAUACUUUUACUCACACAGCGUAGCUUGUACACGGGAAGAACCAGGCAUGUAUGUGUGUAUGAGCCGUGUCUGCAUCCUGGCACUUUUAUAACUGAG
rnacentral:lncRNA from 1 species